GAUUCCCUACGGGGCGCAGCAGGCGCGAAAACUUUACAAUGCGGGAAACCGUGAUAAGGGGACACCGAGUGCUAGCAUCAUAUGCUGGCUGUCCAGGUGUGUAAAAUACACCUGUUAGCAAGGGCCGGGCAAGACCGGUGCCAGCCGCCGCGGUAACACCGGCGGCCCGAGUGGUGAUCGUGAUUAUUGGGUCUAAAGGGUCCGUAGCCGGUUUGGUCAGUCCUCCGGGAAAUCUGACAGCUCAACUGUUAGGCUUUCGGGGGAUACUGCCAGACUUGGAACCGGGGGAGGUAAGAGGUACUACAGGGGUAGGAGUGAAAUCUUGUAAUCCCUGUGGGACCACCUGUGGCGAAGGCGUCUUACCAGAACGGGUUCGACGGUGAGGGACGAAAGCUGGGGGCACGAACCGGAUUAGAUACCCGGGUAGUCCCAGCCGUAAACGAUGCUCGCUAGGUGUCAGGCAUGGCGCGACCGUGUCUGGUGCCGCAGGGAAGCCGUGAAGCGAGCCACCUGGGAAGUACGGCCGCAAGGCUGAAACUUAAAGGAAUUGGCGGGGGAGCACAACAACGGGUGGAGCCUGCGGUUUAAUUGGACUCAACGCCGGACAACUCACCGGGGACGACAGCAAUAUGUAGGCCAGGCUGAAGACCUUGCCUGAAUCGCUGAGAG
rnacentral:rRNA from 1 species